GCUGGGGAUACAGCUCAGUUGGUUGAGUGCCUGCCUCCCAUGCACAAGGCCCUGGGUUCAAUCCCUAGCACCACAGUA
rnacentral:tRNA from 1 species